CAAAAAUGUCCUUAGGGCUUGCGUAUAUAUAGCAAUACUUCAGGAUAUGGCAACUUUUAUUUCUCCGACUUCUGUUGUUGUAACUGUUUUGGACAACGCAUUGGCAACAUCCUCUCUGCUUUAAAAUCUAAACUGUCAAGGGGAAGCUGUCCCGGUCCCGGUUUGUCUGGCAUCCAUGUCCUCCGGGGCCGUCCACAUCUCCAGUUUGACGUGUUUGCGAUACGGACAGGGACUCCUCUUCACUGCUUGCUCGGCCCUGGUGGGAAGAGAAAGCAGAGACGGGAAGAAGGUGUUAGACCGUGAUGGCUAAUAAAUCACAAUUGUUUAUUUGUGAGACACAACAAACCUAACCCUGUUAACAGUGUGAUGAGUCGGAGGAAGCUGUUCCCUGUUGUGUAACCGCCUGACGUGGCAGACACACACACACAUUUUCUCUUUAUGGAAAAGACAUUACUUGACAAGUUCAAUUAGAGCACACACUGGUGCAGAUAUACAACAAGCAAUUGCAGAUCCUAAAGAGCUUGUUCUUGUUGUAAUUUCACACAUGCAUAUUCUGCUGCUCCAUUAGCUUUGAUAGGCUGAGAGUGGCCAUAGCUCUGCUGCUGCGUCUGCCGGCUUUUUUUCCAGGAAAAAUAAAUGUCCACUGCAUUAAAGUAAAAGAAAAGCAUUAAAGGAAAAAAAAACGACUGGAAAUCAGAGAAGGAAAAGACUUUGGGGAAUGAAGGCAGGAUGAAGCCAGUGACUGUAUAUCUAGAUGGACAGUGGUUGUGUGCCGUCCCCCGUUGGCUUGUAUUGAGCUGAUUUUGAUUUUUUUUUUUUUUUUUUUAGCUUCAAGGCCAUCAUCAUUUUGAACGGAUGAUAUGUAGUUAAACCUGAAAACAGGGAAAGAGGAGGGACCAACCAGUAUGAUGGUGAUGGUUGUUGUGUUACAGGGUUCCAAUUAACAGCAGAACCAACCAGGAACUAUUUACUUUAGUGGAUUCAAUCAGGAAGUCCAAAUAUUGUCU